GACGUAGGGGGCGAGCGUUGUCCGGAAUUAUUGGGCGUAAAGAGCUCGUAGGCGGUUUGUCGCGUCUGCUGUGAAAACCCGAGGCUCAACCUCGGGCCUGCAGUGGGUACGGGCAGACUAGAGUGCGGUAGGGGAGAUUGGAAUUCCUGGUGUAGCGGUGGAAUGCGCAGAUAUCAGGAGGAACACCAACGGCGAAAGCACUCUGCUGGGCCGACACUGACACUGAGAGACGAAAGCUAGGGGAGCGAAUGGG
rnacentral:rRNA from 1 species